CUAUUUCAAAGGAUGCAUGAAUGAUCUUUAAAAAAAAUGUUCUCUCCAUUUACUGGGUCAGGAAUGUCAAACCCUUUCUUUACCUUGUGGGAAAAUAAGAAAGAAAAAGGAAUACAGGGGCUUGCGGCUCCGUGUGAAAGUGGACAGAUGGACACACGGAAAAUGGAAAGGCAAGAAAGUACAGCUUCUGCUCAGCUGCUCUGGGCACUCCCUGGAAAACAUGCAGUGAAAUUUGGUCAAGAGACCCAGGAGUGAAUUCAAUUGAGCAGUUUAUCAAAUCAAACCUGCACACAGCCUCCUGCAGGUGAAUGCAGGAAGAGAGCCUUUCAAGUUCUUCAAGUUCUCUCGAUUGAAACAAAGAGAGGAAGAAAGGAAAAAGGGAAGGAUGGAAAGAAAAGUGAAUAGUGGUUGUGACAGUGGAAACAAGAAGGAACAUGGGACCAGGGAAAAGAAGAGGUCUUCAUAAUAUUCUGCUCCUUCCAUAAAAGCACUGAGACACAGAAGGCAAAUUUAAGAUUUAUUAAAUGUGGGUGCUAUGUAGCUAGAUGUGUGUCA